rnacentral:rRNA from 1 species
AGUGAACGCUGGCGGCAGGCCUAACGCAUGCAAGUCGAACGGCAGCACAGUAAGAGCUUGCUCUUACGGGUGGCGAGUGGCGGACGGGUGAGGAAUACAUCGGAAUCUACUUUUUCGUGGGGGAUAACGUAGGGAAACUUACGCUAAUACCGCAUACGACCUACGGGUGAAAGCAGGGGAUCUUCGGACCUUGCGCGAUUGAAUGAGCCGAUGUCGGAUUAGCUAGUUGGCGGGGUAAAGGCCCACCAAGGCGACGAUCCGUAGCUGGUCUGAGAGGAUGAUCAGCCACACUGGAACUGAGACACGGUCCAGACUCCUACGGGAGGCAGCAGUGGGGAAUAUUGGACAAAGGGCGCAAGCCUGAUCCAGCCAUACCGCGUGGGUGAAGAAGGCCUUCGGGUUGUAAAGCCCUUUUGUUGGGAAAGAAAAGCAGCAGGUUAAUACCCCGCUGUUCUGACGGUACCCAAAGAAUAAGCACCGGCUAACUUCGUG